rnacentral:tRNA from 1 species
GGCGGUGUAGCGUAGUGGUUAAGGAGCACGACUCAUGACCGAAAGGUUGCCAGUUCGAUUCUCCCCCGCCG